GGCAGCUGUGCCCCUGCCCUGCAGCCACACUCUGCCCUUGCAGGGCAUGGCGAGCCCCGCUGCGGCGGCUGUCCUGUGGCACUCCUGUCCUGUGGCAGGCCUGUCCUGUGGCACUCCUGUCCUGUGGCAGGCCUGUCCUGUGGCACUCCUGUCCUGUGGCAGGCUUGUCCUGUGGCACUCCUGUUCUGUGGCAGGCCUGUCCUGUGUCCCGUGUCAUGCCUGUCCUGUGUCCUGUGGCAGGCCUGUCCUGUGUCAGGGCUGUCCUGUGUCCUGUGUCAGGCCUGUCCUGUGUCCUGUGGCAGACCUGUCCUGUGUCCUGUGGCAGACCUGUCCUGUGUCCUGUGGCAGGCCUGUCCUGUGUCCUGUGUCAGGGCUGUCCUGUGUCCUGUGUCAGGGCUGUCCUGUGUCCUGUGUCAGACCUGUCCUGUGUCCUGUGGCAGGGCUGUCCUGUGUCCUGUGUCAGACCUGUCCUGUGUCCUGUGUCAGGGCUGUCCUGUGUCCUGUGUCAGACCUGUCCUGUGUCCUGUGUUAGACCUGUCCUAUAUCCUGUGUCAGACCUGUCCUGUGUCCUGUGUUAGACCUGUCCCGUGUCCUGUGACAGACCUGUCCUGUGUCCUGUGUCAGACCUGUCCUGUGUCCUGUGUCAGACCUGUCCUGUGUCAGACCUGUCCUGUGUCCUGUGUUAGACCUGUCCUGUGUCAGACCUGUCCUGAGUCCUGUGGCAGGCCUGUCCUAUAUCCUGUGGCAGGGCUGUCCUCUGUCCUGUGUCAGACCUGUCCCGUGUCCUGUGACAGACCUGUCCUGUGUCAGACCUGUCCUGUAUCCUGUGGCAGGGCUGCCCUGUGUCCUGUGUCAGACCUGUCCUAUAUCCUGUGUGAGGGCUGUCCUGUGUCCUGUGUCAGGCCUGUCCUGUGUCCUGUGUCAGACCUGCCCUGUGUCCUGUGGCUGAAAUGCCACCUUGCACACGCCAAGCCCAAGCGAGGGUCCCCGCUAACACUUCCAAGUGAGGAAAUGUGUCCAUGCUCUCAGCAGAGCUCCCCACACAGACCGGCCAUGCUGGAAUUGCUCUGCCACAGCAGGCCUGGCCCUGCAGCAGGCCCGGGCCACGCCAGCGCGGCUCCAUGCUGCUCUCUACUGCUGCCUCCCACUCACCGCCUCACCACGCUCUCGCUCGCUUCUCCCUUUGUCUCAGGGCCUGAUGUUUGCCCAUCAGGACUUAAACACUGA
rnacentral:lncRNA from 1 species